rnacentral:rRNA from 1 species
UACGUAGGGGGCAAGCGUUGUCCGGAAUUAUUGGGCGUAAAGAGCUCGUAGGCGGUUCUGCAAGUCAGCUGUGAAAUCUCCACGCUCAACGUGGAGGGGUCAGCUGAUACUGCUGUGACUUGAGUCCGGUAGGGGAGUGUGGAAUUCCCGGUGUAGCGGUGAAAUGCGCAGAUAUCGGGAGGAACACCAGUAGCGAAGGCGGCACUCUGGGCCGGUACUGACGCUGAGGAGCGACAGCGUGGGGAGCAAACAGG